CCUCGAGAAGUUCCAGUCGGCAAGUCUCUAUCCCUGCAGCUACCAGCAUAUAUAUACAUGGUUUAACUAAUAAGUCUACGUUAUAGGGCAGCCGAUCAGACCGUAACUAGGAUUCUGAGACAACCGAGUCGACCACCAAAGGUGCGACCCUCUAGAGGGGUCUGGGGGCAUGCCACCCCCCAGAAAAUUUUGAACUCUUGAAGCUCAGAUAAGCUAUUUCCAGCAUUUCGAAAAGUUUUUCAACAAGAAAUUAGCCUUAUAAACAGUGACACAAUUACUGCAAUUUCACAAUCUCCCAAAUGUAAUGAAUGGUGUGGUGAUGCGGUAAUGAAAAUCAGAAAAUGUGCGUGGUAUAGUAUUAUCAUUCACCACACUUCAAAUUCUACAGUAUUGUAUUACAUGUAUUGGGGUAUACUUGAAAUCGAGGGAUUCGUCUUCUCAGUGUCACUGAAGAGCAAGAUACGGUGGUCUCUUUGGAGUAUCUUUACUUGGAUUGAAAAUUAAACUUUGUCCUAAAAUACCAUUUCAUGCCUUGUUCCACGAGCAA